GUUGAAAGGAUGCAGCGCUGUGCUCUGCAGAGCAAGGAAACAUCUUCUAGGGGCUCUCAAGAACUACUGAAACCCGUCCCUGACAAGACCCUCCUCCCUCUUGGAGCAUGCAGAGUCAUCCUGCGA